GACGAACGCUGGCGGCGUGCUUAAUACAUGCAAGUCAACUGAACUUUAGGUAGCAAUAUUUAAAGGGAGGUGGCGCACGGGUGAGUAACACGUAGGUAAUCUGCCUUCAGGACUGACAUAAUUCCGCGAAAGCGGGACUAAAAUCAGAUGAUGCAGCGGCUCGACAUCGAGACAGUUGUUAAACCUUCGGGGCCUGAAGAUGAGCCUGCGUCUGAUUAGGUAGUUGGCGGGGUAAAAGCCCACCAAGCCUGCGAUCAGUAGCUGGUCUGAGAGGAUGAUCAGCCACACUGGAACUGAGACACGGUCCAGACUCCUACGGGAGGCAGCAGUAAGGAAUAUUGCUCAAUGGCCGAAAGGCUGAAGCAGCAACGCCGCGUGGAGGAUG
rnacentral:rRNA from 1 species